AGCCAGCACAAGAGGGAGUAACUGGAUUCUAUUUCGUAGAGCAUAGGGACGGGGGAAAGGCUGAUCCUUGACUGCUUGGUGACCGUUUGUGUGUCUGCAAGAAGAUGUGUGCUAACUUCUAAAAGAGUGGGCUGAUUGGUGAUGUUUUGAUUAAAAAUGUUAAAGACUCGAGGAGGACUUAGAAGCAUUUGAGGAAGUGUUUGAUGACAUGAUUACAUGACAAUUCUGUUAAAUUAUGCUGUUGACAACCUUGUUGUUUGCUCCCUG